rnacentral:tRNA from 1 species
GUGCCUGUAGCUCAGUUGGAUAGAGCGACUGGCUACGGACCAGUAGGUCGGGGGUUCGAACCCCUCCAGGCACGCCA